AACGAACGCUGGCGGCAGGCUUAACACAUGCAAGUCGAGCGCCCCGCAAGGGGAGCGGCAGACGGGUGAGUAACGCGUGGGAAUCUACCCAUCUCUACGGAAUAACGCAUGGAAACGUGUGCUAAUACCGUAUACGUCCUUCGGGAGAAAGAUUUAUCGGAGAUGGAUGAGCCCGCGUUGGAUUAGCUAGUUGGUGGGGUAAAGGCCUACCAAGGCGACGAUCCAUAGCUGGUCUGAGAGGAUGAUCAGCCACACUGGGACUGAGACACGGCCCAGACUCCUACGGGAGGCAGCAGUGGGGAAUAUUGGACAAUGGGCGCAAGCCUGAUCCAGCCAUACCGCGUGAGUGAUGAAGGCCCUAGGGUUGUAAAGCUCUUUCACCGGUGAAGAUAAUGACGGUAACCGGAGGAGAAGCCCCGGCUAACUCCGUGCCAGCCGCCGCCGUAAAAC
rnacentral:rRNA from 1 species